UACGUAGGAGGCAAGCGUUGUCCGGAAUUACUGGGCGUAAAGCGCGUGUAGGUGGUGGGACAAGUCUGCUGUGAAAGCGCCUGGCUUAACCGGGCGAGGUCGGCGGAAACUGUCCGACUAGAGGACGGUAGAGGGGGGUGGAAUUCCCGGGUGUAGUGGUGAAAUGCGUAGAGAUCGGGAGGAACACCUGUGGCGAAGGCGGCCCCCUGG
rnacentral:rRNA from 1 species